rnacentral:rRNA from 1 species
CGCAACGGAUCAAAGGUACGCCAAGGAUAACAGGCUAAUACUCCCCAAGAGUCCAUAUCGACGGGAGGGUUUGGCACCUCGAUGUCGACUUGUCAUCACCUGGGGGUGGAGAAGCUCCCAAGGGUUCGGCUGUUCGCCGAUGAAAAUGGCACAUGAGUUGGGUUUAGAACGACGUGAGUCAGUUCGGUUCCUAUCUGCUGU